UUGCCCGCUCACUUCACGUGCACCGGUAAAAGUUCCGCUAAUUGGAGCCUACACCCUCUCCCCCUACACCCCCUCCUCUCUCGCCGUCAUAGAUACAAGCCCCCCUUCCACCCAUCCACAUCAUACAUACACACUGACACGCACGCGCGCACACGCUACUUCCACGUGCGUGACCAACACAUCCCCCGAGGCCCCGCCACCACCACUUCGCACUCACACACAUACACACACAUAUACAUAUUACGUAGCGAGAGAAAAGCAGACGCGCACCCCCUCCUCCCGUGUACAUUGGCCUCCACACCGCAGGCGCUCUAGAGCAAGGGGCUCUCGACCGCGUAUCGGGUGCUGCAUGCUCCGCACAAAGGGCGAAGGUAUGGAAGCACACGCAGUGUAGCGGCUACCCGUGCAGACAGACACGACCCACCACAUAAUAAUGUUUCGUCGUGGCUUUCCGCUGCUCUCGACGCUGCCACCAGACACAAGUAAGCUCUUUGGCGCUAGCCGUCGUCGUACACCGCAGCAGCAGCGCGUCUACAACCAACUGAAAACGACAUCUAUUCAGGCUGCGUUCCCUCACAUCGCCGCCUGCUGGGUGGGGCCGUGCUGGGGCACCGUUAUGCAGACGCCGAGCAAUGUAUCACCCGUGUGCAUGAAGAUGGCGGUGUGGCGCUGCUCUCACUGCUUGCAGGAGUUCGAGAUGGUAGUGGGGCACUUUAUUGAUGGAGGCGGCGUGUGCCCGCAUUGCCAUAUUCCGCAGAAGAAGCUGGACAACGUGACGGUGCGCAACGCGCAAGGGGAACUGGUGACCAAGAAGCCCCAAUACGUGAAGGCGCCGCGCAUGAUUCACUCGAACUACCGUAGCGUGCUCUUCGCCAAUCCCCACUGGGAGUCGCUGAACAUUCAGCCCAUGCUUGCGCAGCGCUGGGAGCUUGUGGCGGACGAGCUCAUGAAGAGCAGCAACGGCGAGAGCGGCACCGCUUCCGACAAGCAUCUGCUCCUCGCCUCCCCCAAGAUCGAUGGCAUCCGCUGCAUGAUUGGGUACAACGAGAAGCUUCGCGAGGUACAGUUCUUCUCUCGUGGCGGCAUCGUCCUCGAGUGCUGCCACGGCCUCGUCCCGCAGCUGCUGCCGCUCUUUGAGAAGGACCCGACGCUCAUGCUAGACGGCGAGCUCUUUGCGCCCGAGUGCAACUUCGAGCAGCUCAACGGGCUUGUACGUCGACUCAACAAGAAGUCCGACCCAAAAAUUAUGGAGGCGCAGGCGCGCCUGCUAGAGUACUUCGCGUUCGACAUCAUGUACAGUGCGCAGCUCUCGUCCGUAUCGGCUCCUUUCGACGAGCGCUACAUGCUGCUCAAGAAGCUCAUCCCCGUGUGCGGCGCGAAGCGGAUUAGCAACUACGUUCACGACGACACGCGGAAGAAGGUGAUCCGCGCUACGCACGGCGGUGUGGCGACAGCGGCAGCGGCAAACGGUCAGGCCGUGAAGAUCUACCAUGUACCUGCCGCGCAGGUGCACCCGAGCGACAUGGAGGACGUGCUGAACGAGGCGUGCUCGCAGGGGUUCGAGGGCGUCAUGAUCCGCCUUCCCAAGUUCCCCUACGAGCACGGCAAGCGCAGCUUCGGGCUGCUCAAGUACAAGCAGAUGCACGACGCUGAGUUUAAGAUUGUCGGCUUCGUGCCCGGUGAAGGCAAGUUCAAGAGCGCUCUUGGCGCCUUCGUCUGCACAACCAAGGACGGCAAACACUUCAACACGCCACCCAAGGUCUCCUGCAAGCACCGCAUCGAGCUGUGGGAGCACCGUAGGGAGUAUCUAGGCAAGUACCUGACGGUGCAGUAUCAAGAGCUCUCCUCGCAGAACGUGCCGCGCUUCCCUAUCGCCAAGGCCAUUCGCGGUAGUGAGGAUAAGCGAGAUUGGCUGUGAAGAGAAAACAGCUCAGAGAGAGAGACAUGCACGCGGGGGUGCUCCAUGCAAAACGAAGAAGCACGAGGCACCACCUACGAGAUGCUUGGAGAGAUGGACUGAAGGCAGCCCUCUGCAUUCGUGGGCAGGCGCCCUGUUCUCCGCCCUCCACCACAGUGGCCACCGCCACCUCUCCCGCCAUGGCGUGCUCGCGUUUGGUGGUGAUGCGGGUCCGUUUUUUUUUUGUGUGUGUGUGUGUUUUUCUUCGGAGGGGCGGGUGGCUGCCGUGCGCAUGCACGGGCAUCCUCCGUUUUCAUAGAACCUCAAUAGUAGCAGCCCCUCGAACAUACGCGCACCCUCCCUCCCCCACCCCAAUCCACCCCGCCCGACUCUCUCUCCCUUUUUCGCCGUCACUACUGUUCGCUGUGGCUCCGUGCUCAUGUUGCGCAUGUGCGUGCGCGCCACACUCCCUUUCGACUGCGGCGCCGCGACCGCAGCCGUAACGAAGAAUCAAAGCGAGGCGAGUGAUGAGCACUCUGCAGAGAGCACGCAACCGUGAAGGUGAGAGGGCGCGCAUGGGGCUCUGGCGAGGUCAGCUGCCCCCACGGCGAGCACGUGCGCCUCGCGUUGUCUUUGCUUCUUCUGCGUAUC
rnacentral:misc_RNA from 1 species